rnacentral:rRNA from 1 species
GACGAACGCUGGCGGCAUGCCUAAUACAUGCAAGUCGAACGCUGAAGCACUCUGCUUGCAGAGUGCGGAUGAGUGGCGAACGGGUGAGUAACACGUGGGAAAUCUGCCUAUAAGAGGGGGAUAACAUUCGGAAACGGAUGCUAAUACCGCAUAUAUUCUUGGACCGCCUGGUCCUUGAAAGAAAGACGGCUUUGCUGUCGCUUAUAGAUGAUCCCGCGGCGUAUUAGUUAGUUGGGGGGGUAAAGGCCUACCAAGACAAUGAUACGUAGCCGACCUGAGAGGGUGAUCGGCCACACUGGGACUGAGACACGGCCCAGACUCCUACGGGAGGCAGCAGUAGGGAAUCUUCCACAAUGGGCGAAAGCCUGAUGGAGCAAUGCCGCGUGAAUGAAGAAGGUCUUCGGAUCGUAAAGUUCUGUUAUUAGAGAAGAACAAGUCAAGGAGUAACUGUCUUGACUUUGACGGUACCUAACCAGAAAGUCACGGCUAACUACGUG